GGGGGUGUCAUGGUUUCGACUGGACGCGCUUAGCGUUAGCGGCAUGUCGAGGAUGAUCGUUGGCCUCGUAAAAAUUCGAUCAAACCAAUAACUGCGAACGAAGAGUACGCACUCGCUGCCUGAUGCGGCGACGUCACCUCCCUGACGGGUGCUAAGGGAAGGUGGCGACGACAGCGCCCUGGUCCGUAGGCUUUUUUCAUUGACUCCGGACGAGAUUUCAAAUGAACUAGUCGUAAAGCCGCCUGUCUGCCGGCAAGGCUGCGCGACGAUAAGCAGAAAAGACAGAACAAACAUGUAGAUGCUAGCGUAAUGCCAUCACAGGACGCGGGUUCGACUCCCGCCACCUCCACCA
rnacentral:tmRNA from 1 species